UUUGGAUAGAGAUAAUGGCCCGUGCGAGCAAGACAUCUCUAAUUUGCUACCACCAUAUUCUUGCAAAACUUCUCUCGCAGUCACAGAUUCUUCUUCGUUCUUCCUAGUUCUAAAUGUCCAUGAGUCAUCCACACUUGCUAGCUUCUUCUUCUUCUUCUUCUUCCUCUUCUUCCACUACCAAACUUGCUACUUCCACCAUUACCUUUAUUCCUUAUGAUGUUUUCAGUGCUUCUUCUCUGCAUAGAUCUCUCCAGCUGGUUGUGCUCAAUAGUCAAACGUUAGCAAACAAAACCCACAUGCUCGAACUUGUUCUGGUAUGAUUUCACGAAGGAGUUCUCUGUUGGUUUGAUUACCAAAUUUGGAAUCUUUGUUGUCCCAUUUGCUUGUUUUGGGCUUUGGUCGGUGGCUGGAGAGAAUAAUCAAAUCAAAUUCUUCUUAGAAGUUAGAAAAACCAGACAGAAUCUUGGGAUUCUCUUGUUCUUCUUGGGUGCGGUGGAAGUAAAUUCAUUGUCUUCUCGUGGUUUUGGGUGUCCUGUUUCUGCCUGCUGCUGCACACCCGAAUUUGAAGUUAUUUGGGUGUGGAUAAGGGUAACUUCUACCGACACACAUCCUACCAAGAAUCCCAAAAUCUACCUGGCUGCAGCGGAUUCAAAGUCGGUGGGUUUGUUUUCCAAGCUUGGAAUUUUACUUCUAAAUGUUGGGUUUUGCUGGACAGUUCCUGUAGAUUUGAUAGUUGGUGUCUCCCUCUCCCUGUCUCUCUCUCCACUCUCUCUCUCUCUCUCUCUCUCACUGUUUGUAGUUAAUUUGCUUGGUUUACUGUGGUGGAUGAGUGUUUUCCAUGUAUUUGGGUUCGGUUUAAAGGUGGGGCAUAUGCUUUGGAUGCUAUGUUGCUGGAUUGUAUCUGUAAUUUCCAUGAACUGGUACCUUACUGGUGGGAUUGUGACAGACACCAAGGCAGGAUUGCUUGGUGAAGUUGCCAAUAUGUGCCUCAAAUGGUGGGAGAAAGUCCCAAUGAACAUCAGCAAGAUCCGCUACCAUUACUACCAGUAUAUCGGGUCGAAGAGAGUCCGAAAAACGUGGUGGAAGGGGCUUUUGUUUACGUGGGUGGUUGGAUGGACAAUUGGGAGCCUCUGGAUCUUGUGGUACAUGAGCUCACACGCUAGUGAGAAGAGGAAGGAGACUCUUGCAAGUAUGUGUGAUGAGAGGGCUAGGAUGUUGCAGGAUCAGUUUAAUGUCAGCAUGAACCAUAUUCAGGCCAUGUCGAUACUGAUCUCGACAUUCCACCACGGGAAGUACCCGUCUGCCAUUGAUCAGAAAACUUUUGCGCGGUACACUGAAAGAACUGCUUUUGAGAGACCCCUCACAAGUGGCGUGGCAUAUGCUGUAAGGGUGCUCCACUCGGAAAAGGAACAAUUUGAGAAGCAGCAGGGCUGGACUAUAAAGAGAAUGGAUACCCUCGAACAAAACCAGGUUCAUAAGAACGACUAUGCCCCAGAAGCCUUGGAACCAUCCCCAGUUCAGGAAGAAUAUGCUCCUGUUAUCUUUGCACAGGAUACCGUUAGACACAUCAUCUCUUAUGAUAUGCUGUCCGGGAAGGAAGAUCGACAAAACGUGUUGCGUGCAAGAGAAUCAGGAAAGGGGGUUCUAACUGCUCCUUUUCGGCUGCUUAAAACAAAUCGCCUUGGAGUAAUACUGACAUUUGCUGUCUACAAAAGAGAUCUGCCCUCAAAUGUAACUCCAAAUGAAAGAAUUCAAGCGACUGAUGGGUAUCUUGGUGGAAUCUUUCAUAUUGAGUUACUUGUGGAGAAGUUACUUCAACAACUUGCUAGCAAGCAAACCAUCCUUGUGAAUGUGUAUGACACUACCAAUCAGUUGCAUCCAAUCAGCAUGUACGGUUCAAAUGUUUCAGAUGAUGGAUUGCAACACAUAAGCUCCUUAAGUUUUGGAGAUCCCUUAAGGAACCAUGAGAUGCGGUGCAGGUUCAAACAUAAGCCACCAUGGCCGUGGUUAGCCAUUACAACUUCUUUUGGGAUCCUUGUGAUUGCAUUGCUUGUUGGAUACAUUUUCCAUGCAACUGUAAAUAGGAUUGCCAAAGUGGAGGAUGAUUUCCGUAAGAUGAUGGAGCUCAAGAAACAGGCUGAGGCAGCUGAUGUUGCCAAAUCUCAGUUUCUUGCAACUGUUUCACACGAGAUCAGAACCCCAAUGAAUGGUGUCCUAGGAAUGUUACAUAUGCUAAUGGACACAGAUCUGGAUGUUACUCAACUAGAUUAUGUCCGAACUGCCCAGGGAAGUGGAAAAGCUCUUGUCUCACUUAUUAAUGAGGUGUUGGACCAGGCAAAGAUUGAAUCUGGUAAGCUGGAGCUUGAGGCGGUGCGUUUUGACCUGCGAGCUAUUCUGGAUGAUGUUUUGUCACUCUUUUCAGGGAAGUCUCAAGAAAAAGGAGUAGAGUUGGCAGUAUACAUCUCAGAUCAGGUUCCCGAUAUGCUUAUUGGUGAUCCCGGAAGGUUUCGGCAGAUUAUCACCAAUCUCAUUGGGAAUUCAAUCAAAUUCACAGAGAAAGGACACAUCUUUGUCACGGUUCAUCUUGUCGAGGAGCUGAUUGGCUCGAUAGAUGUUGAGACUGAAUCAUCAUCAAAGAACACCUUGAGCGGUUUCCCUGUAGCAGAUAGACACCGCAGUUGGGGAGGAUUUAGGUGUUUUGGUCAAGAUGGAUUGACGAAUCAAUUCUCAUCCUCCUCUGACCUCAUCAAUAUUAUUGUAUCUGUUGAGGACACAGGAGUAGGAAUCCCUCUAGAAGCACAAUCUCGUGUUUUCACUCCUUUUAUGCAGGUGGGACCAUCCAUCUCACGUACACAUGGAGGCACAGGAAUUGGGCUAAGCAUAAGCAAGUGUUUGGUUGGCCUCAUGAAAGGGGAAAUCGGGUUUGUGAGCAUUCCCAAGAUUGGUUCCACAUUUACAUUUACUGUUGUUUUCACCAAUGCCAGCUCCAAUUCAAACGAGUUAACAAUCCAGCAAAUGAACAGCCAGUCAAAUGUUGCAUCCUCAGAAUUUAAUGGCAUGACGGCAUUAGUAGUGGACCAAAGACCUGUUAGGGCCAAGAUGUCAAGAUAUCAUAUCCAACGGCUUGGAAUUUGUGUUGAAGUAGUUUCUGAUUUGAAUCAGGGUUUAUCUAGCAUAAGCUCUGGGAAUACCACCAUCAAUAUGGUCCUUGUUGAACAGGAAGUCUGGGACAAAGAUUCGGGCACCUCAGCUCUCUUUGUCAAUAAUUUACGGAAAAUUGAUGGACAGGUUCCUCCGAAACUGUUCAUUCUCACCAAUUCUAUAAGCUCAUGCAGAAUAAGUUCUGCAACUUCAGGUGUCUCUACCCCAACUGUCAUCAUGAAGCCUCUCAGGGCAAGCAUGCUUGCUGCCUCACUACAACGAGCCAUGGGAGUCGGUAACAAGGGAAAUCUCCGGAACGGGGACCUCCCAAGUUUGUCUCUCCGCAAUCUUCUGCUCGGGAGAAUAAUUCUUAUUAUAGAUGAUAAUAAUGUGAAUCUCAGAGUAGCUGCUGGCGCUUUGAAGAAGUAUGGGGCUGAGGUGGUCUGUGCAGACAGUGGUAAAAAGGCAAUCUCACUGCUUACGCCGCCCCACCAUUUUGAUGCCUGCUUCAUGGAUAUCCAGAUGCCAGAGAUGGACGGGUUUGAAGCUACAAGGAGAAUACGCAACAUGGAAUGCAAUAUCAGUAACCGUAUUCAGCAUGGCGAAGUUUCUGCUGGGGAUUCUGAAAAUAUUCAAGCAUGGCAUGUACCCAUUCUAGCCAUGACUGCCGACGUAAUUCAGGCAACCCAUGAGGAAUGUACAAGGUGCGGAAUGGAUGGAUAUGUUUCAAAACCAUUCGAAGCUGAACAGCUUUAUCGCGAAGUUUCACGUUUUUUCCAAUCUACAACAACUGGGAGCUUGGAGUGAGGACUUGAAUUGAUGAGUUGCAGAUGGCAUAAGCUCAGGCACCGUUUCUCCAGGACACUGUAAAUGGAUCCAGAAUUUUCCAGAGAGAACAUGUCUUUUGUCACACAGAGCGUAUAAGGAGCCCUGCUCAAUUACUUGGGAUGCAAGUCAAAUUUUCUUUUCCCUUGUAUUUUUUCGAUGAGCCAGAUAUCAAAGCCGGUUCAUUCUCCUUGCACAGUUGAUCCAUCUCAAGAACCGAUGACUUGAAAUCCCGAAUCAUUUGGGGGUGAAAUGGAAGCUCUGGGUUUGGAUUCUGAUUCUGAUUCCGAGUUUAACGAUAGAAGUUUGCAUCGUUGAAGAUAUAUGACACUUUUCUUAGCACCAGUGUACCAUGUAUAGAUUGAUUUGGCCGUGAGGAGGAACUUGGAGCUUAUCCUGGGAAGAUGUUGGAGGAUCCACCGUGUACAUUUGUAGAGUUUGAUCAAAUGUAGGAUUUGAUGUCAACUAUAUACAAUGUUGGUAAUUUCAGAAAAUCUCAUUAUUUUU